CACUAUCAGUUGAAGCUGCCAGCAUGAUCUAAACUUACCUCUUGUAAUAAUUAAGUUUGAGGGAAGAUUAGAUCAUGUGGUAGCUUCACCCGUUAGUUG
rnacentral:pre_miRNA from 1 species